GACGAACGCUGGCGGCGUGCUUAACACAUGCAAGUCGAGCGGUAAGGCCCUUUCGGGGGUACGACGAGCGGCGAACGGGUGGAGUAACACGUGGGUGGACCUGCCCUCCAGCUCUGGGAGUAAGCCCGGGAAACUGGGUCGUAAUACUGGAUAUGACUCCAUGACGCAUGUUGUGGGGUGGAAAGCCUUGUGCGGCUGGGGAGUGGGCCCGGCGGCCUAUCAGCUUGUUGGUGGGGUGAUGGCCUACCGAGGCGACGACGGGUAGCCGGCCUGAGAGGGCGA
rnacentral:rRNA from 1 species